rnacentral:rRNA from 1 species
AUUGAACGCUGGCGGCAUGCUUUACACAUGCAAGUCGAACGGUAACAGGCCGCAAGGUGCUGACGAGUGGCGAACGGGUGAGUAAUGCAUCGGAACGUGCCCAGUCGUGGGGGAUAACGCAGCGAAAGCUGCGCUAAUACCGCAUACGAUCUAUGGAUGAAAGCGGGGGACCGUAAGGCCUCGCGCGAUUGGAGCGGCCGAUGUCAGAUUAGGUAGUUGGUGGGGUAAAGGCUCACCAAGCCGACGAUCUGUAGCUGGUCUGAGAGGACGACCAGCCACACUGGGGAUGAGACACGGCCCAGACUCCUACGGGAGGCAGCAGUGGGGAAUUUUGGACAAUGGGCGCAAGCCUGAUCCAGCAAUGCCGCGUGCAGGAAGAAGGCCUUCGGGUUGUAAACUGCUUUUGUACGGAACGAAACGGUCCUGGUUAAUACCUGGGGCUAAUGACGGUACCGUAAGAAUAAGCACUGGCUAACUACAUGCCAGCAGCCGCAGUAACAC